GACAGAGGGUGCAAACGUUGUUCGGAAUACUGGCGUAAAGCGUGUGUAGGCGGUCUCUUAAGUCGGAUGUGAAAGCCCCGGGCUCAACCCGGGAAGUGCACUCGAAACUGGGAGGCUAGAGUACUGGAGAGGUUGGUGGAAUUCUCGGUGUAGAGGUGAAAUUCGUAGAUAUCGAGAGGAACACCGGUGGCGAAGGCGGCCAACUGGACAGAUACUGACGCUGAGACACGAAAGCGUGGGGAGCAAACAGG
rnacentral:rRNA from 1 species